CGCGUAGGCGGUGCGGUAAGUCACCUGUGAAACCUCCGGGCUCAACUCGGAGCCUGCAGGCGAAACUGCCGUGCUGGAGUGUGGGAGGGGUGCGUGGAAUUCCCGGUGUAGCAGUGAAAUGCGUAGAGAUCGGGAGGAGCACCUGUGGCGAAAGCGGCGCACUGGACCACAACUGACGCUGAGGCGCGAAAGCUAGGGGAGCAAACAGGAUUAGAUACCCUGGUAGUCCUAGCCCUAAACGAUGGAUGCUUGGUGUAGCCGGUACCCAAUCCGGCUGUGCCGCAGCUAACGCGAUAAGCAUCCCGCCUGGGGAGUACGGUCGCAAGGCUGAA
rnacentral:rRNA from 1 species